AGGGCCCUUAGUAGCGGCGAGUGAGCGGCAAAGCUCAAUUUGAAAUCUGGCACUUUCAGUGUCCGAGUUGUAAUUUGAAGAAGGUAUCUUUGGGUCUGGCUCUUGUCUAUGUUUCUUGGAACAGAACGUCACAGAGGGUGAGAAUCCCGUGCGAUGAGAUGACCCAGACCUAUGUAAAGUUCCUUCGAAGAGUCGAGUUGUUUGGGAAUGCAGCUCUAAGUGGGUGGUAAAUUCCAUCUAAAGCUAAAUAUUGGCGAGAGACCGAUAGCGAACAAGUACAGUGAUGGAAAGAUGAAAAGAACUUUGAAAAGAGAGUGAAAAAGUACGUGAAAUUGUUGAAAGGGAAGGGCUUGAGAUCAGACUUGGUAUUUUGUAUGUUACUCUCUCGGGGGUGGCCUCUACAGUUUACCGGGCCAGCAUCAGUUUGGGCGGUAGGAGAAUUGCAAAGAAAUGUGGCACUGCCUCGGUAGUGUGUUAUAGUCUUUGUCGAUACUGCCAGCCUAGACUGAGGACUGCGGCUUCGGCCUAGGAUGUUGGCAUAA
rnacentral:rRNA from 1 species